rnacentral:lncRNA from 1 species
UGGAUUUCAAGAAUGUGAAACAUCAAUAAAUAAUAAUUGUAUUUUCAUAGGUGACAAAUUACACUUAAGUCAUUUUCAUGUGAUGUGAUUUGUGAAAGCAAAUGGUUCAUGAGUUUCAGAGACCAAUCUAUAUCAACUUCUUAAAGCUGUUUGAACAGUUAAUAUGAGCAGAAAGAAUAGAAACAUGUUUUAGAAACAUGUAAAACAGUAGAACAUGAGAUCUUCCAGCAAGCUUGCAAUUGCUAACAAUGGCAGAAGUAGCAUACAACUAUCUCCCGAGUCCCAUCUGCAUGAAUCCGAUCAGAAAAACUUUGAGCAUGUGCACUAAAAACCAUCCUAGGCCUAAAAGCAUGGAAGAUAUAUUCAGUUGCGUUUGGUGGAAGCAUUUGUGAUAAUUCAUAUGGUCCAACCCCAAUAUGUUGGGUAGAAAAAAUAAUAACUUUAUGUUAGAAUUUAGAUACAAUAUUAUAACUUGUAACUACUAAAAGUCUAAUAGAUCUUUGUAUUUCUUUCUACCUUGUUUUUAAUGGUUCAGGUAAGUUAUUUUCUGUUUCAUGCAAUGGAAAGUGAGGAAAAAGUACAGGCAGAACAUAGCAACAUGGUUCGGGUCUUGAGUUGUUGUUUUCUAUUUCAUGCAAUGGAAAGUGAGGAAAAAGUACAGGCAGAACAUAGCAACACCACGAAAUUAAGUGAGACAAAAUUAACAUUACUGGUGGGUGUCAACUGUCGAGACCACCAAAUAAAAAAAACUAAAUACGACAACAUACAAAAAUGAAUUAUAGUAGCGGUAAUAGGGAUCGAAUCCCCAGGGAUUGAUUCGAAUGAAAUCUAUGUAUUUAGUUUCUAUAAAAUAAAUUAUAAAAUGAAGGGGGUUUUCUUAUAAUAUUAAAUGUGAUAAAAACUAUUUUGCAAAAAUAACUAAAAUGGAAAAAUACAAAAGCUAUAAAAUAAAACGUUUCAAUAUUGGGAUAAAUCACAAGUUCAACUAUUUGACAAAUCAUCAUAAUUUUGUGGUGCAAUGGGUUUAAUGGAUACUAAUUUGGUUAUAGCAAUCUAAGAAGUUUGAGAUCACAUAGACUUUUCUUAGUCAAUACAAUGGUUAAAGAAGCUCAUAACACAUUUUCUUAGUUAAAGUCACAAUUUUCAAGAAGCAUGUAAUUAAUGAAAAUUAACUAGCAUUAAGAUUUAAAAGUCACCAAAUCCAAGAGGAGUCAAAAUCUUUUCACUAUUAUGUUGGAGAAAUUACUUUCAUGAUUGUGUGAAAGGAAAGCAAUCACAAAAGCCAUUUGUUGCUUGUUAAUUUGAAGACAUAUUACGUAAUCAAGAAAUUAAUCAACUAAUUAAAUAUUCACAUAUCUAAACUCAUGAUUAAAAACAUAUGAACAUAAAUAGAUGUUCUACUAUAAAAUAUUUUCAUAGCAAACUAUCAAAUUACUCCUAAUCAAUUAAUUAUUCCAUAGAUUUACCUAAUAUUAAAAAUAAAAACUAACUACACACAAUAAUAAUAAUAAUAAUGACAAUAAAAUAAUAGAAAUUAUACCAAUACUGAUUAAGAAAUGAAGAUGAUAAAGCUUUAUGAAAUCGCCACUUCUUGUUGCUCCAAAAAACUUCAUUUAUAAUCCAAGUAUUAAUACAAAAAAUUAACCUAACCUAAUCUAAUGUAAAUAACAAAUUACAAGAUAAUAAAAUCAAUGAUAAUAUUAUUUGAAUUCCAAAAAUAAGAAAGGAAAAGAAAGGAGGAGACACCAAAGGCGCCGUCACUCCCUCUACUCCUUCUGCCGGCGAAAUGAAUGAGAUGCCCUACUGCAUCUUUUGAUUGUUGUGCAUUCAAUUCCCA